rnacentral:rRNA from 1 species
CUUGGAGGAAUGUAUAGCGAAAGCUAGCUGCAUUAGCUUAGCGAAGGCUAAAGAGGUGCAGGAUUGUUUUUUCAAAUAAAGUUCCGGGUAGGUUAUGACGAUGACAUCUCCUAUCUGUAUGUCUUGACCAAAUUACGUGCCAGCAGUCGCGGUAAUACGUAGAAGACUAGUGUUAUUCAUCUUUAAUAGGUUUAAAGGGUACCUAGACGGUAAAUCAAGUCCAAGAAGGAUACUAAUUUGACUAGAGUUAAAUGUGAGGGGGCUAUAGAGUACUGAUUAGUGUAGAGAUGAAAUUCUGUCAUACAAUGUAAGGCACUGGUAAAGGCGAAGGCAUCUCCUUAUGUAAUAACUGACGUUGAGGGACGAAGGCUAUGUGUAGCGAAUAGGAUUAGAGACCCUAGUAGUCGUAGCAGUAAAUUAUGAAUGUCAUAGGAUGGAAUCUUUAUUUUUUCUCUCUUUUUUUAAUUAGCAUAAUAUAUAGAGAUGAUAUCAGUCUAAAGAAACUUUUUUCUAUAAAUGAUAGUGUAAGCAUUCCACCUCAAGAGUAAUUUGGCAACAUUGGAACUGAAAUCAUUAGACCGUUUCUGAAACAAGUAGUGAAGUAUGUUGUUUAAUUUGAUAAUCCGCAAAAUACCUUACCACAGUUUGAAUAGAAACUUUUUUUAUACAAGUGCUGCACGGUUGUCUUCAGUUAAUGUCGUGAGAUCUUGGUUAGUUCCAUUAAAUUAACGUAAACCCUAGCUUUAUUUUUAUAUAGAGUUGUUCGCCACUAGAUCGGUUAAGAUAACAGGGA